ensembl:snoRNA SNORD113-5 small nucleolar RNA SNORD113/SNORD114 family
UGGAUCAAUGAUGGACACUGGUGGAGGAGUCUGAAUCAGCCUCUUUGAUUAAGAACUCUGUGUACCUCUGAGGUCCAU